rnacentral:rRNA from 1 species
GUAGGUGGCAAGCGUUGUCCGGAAUUAUUGGGCGUAAAGCGCGCGCAGGCGGGUUCUUUAAGUCUGAUGUGAAAGCCCACGGGCUCAACCGUGGAGGGUCAUUGGAAACUGGAGAACUUGAGUACAGAAGAGGAAAGCGGAAUUCCACGUGUAGCGGUGAAAUGCGUAGAGAUGUGGAGGAACACCAGUGGCGAAGGCGGCUUUCUGGUCUGUAACUGACGCCGAGGCGCGAAAGCGUGGGGAGCAAACAGGAUUAGAUACCCUGGUAGUCCACGCCGUAAACGAUGAGUGCUAAGUGUUAGGGGGUUUCCGCCCCUUAGUGCUGCAGCUAACGCAUUAAGCACUCCGCCUGGGGAGUACGGCCGCAAGGCUG